UCAAACACAGAUUAAUCAAUUUACGUCUCACAUCCGGUUAAACCUCCUUUACGGCAGGUUGAACUGGAGCAGUGCAGCUACAUGAGCAUCUAUAAGAAACGUCAUGUAAGCAAAUGAUGGUCAAACAGCAACACUUAUGCUACCUGUAGCUAUUAGCUAAACAUGCCAGAUUAGCAUAGUGUGCUGCCGGUGUUACGUCGGUCUACGUUUCUCUUGCCUUUACCUCAGCAUAACUUCCGUUGCCUAGCAACCGUGUUAGCAUGAAAGCGCAGAGUUGUGAAGCCGAACAAAUGGAGCCUGAAGACCGAAUGAAGUGACCCCUUAAUCAGAAGAAGUCUUCAAGAAAAUCCUUGAUACUGGUGAGGGUUGCUGAAGCAGUCAUCCUUGAAGUGCUUUGUGCACACAAAGAGGAAUUUCACCACUGAAGACUUUACUUACAACUUGGCAUGGAGUGAGGUGUCGGGAAGGAUGCGCGGAUGCCGCCACACAGCUGGCCCACAGCAGGAAGAGCAGCUGGAAGGCGGCCAUGGUCCUGCAGCAAACAGAGUCCAGA